rnacentral:rRNA from 1 species
UGGGGAAUAUUGGACAAUGGGCGCAAGCCUGAUCCAGCCAUGCCGCGUGUGUGAAGAAGGCCUUCUGGUUGUAAAGCACUUUAAGCGAGGAGGAGGCUACUUGGUUUAAUACUCUAGGAUAGUGGACGUUACUCGCAGAAUAAGCACCGGCUAACUCUGUGCCAGCAGCCGCGGUAAUACAGAGGGUGCGAGCGUUAAUCGGAUUUACUGGGCGUAAAGCGUGCGUAGGCGGCUUCUUAAGUCGGAUGUGAAAUCCCUGAGCUUAACUUAGGAAUUGCAUUCGAUACUGGGAAGCUAGAGUAUGGGAGAGGAUGGUAGAAUUCCAGGUGUAGCGGUGAAAGGCGUAGAGAACUGGAGGAAUACCGAUGGCGAAGGCAGCCAUCUGGCCUAAUACUGAAGCUGAGGUACGAAAGCAUGGGGAGCAAACAGG